UUGAGCCAGACAAAGAGGUAAAGCGGUGCCAAACUGGGUUAUUUCACCAGUGUGGAUGCAGCUAAAAAGUGUAUUUUUGACAGCAGCAUUCAUCUCAGGAGAUGCAAAUAAAUAAAACAAACAAAACCAACAAAUAAAAAGGUCACUUUUCUUUAUUCUUACGAAGCCCAAGGAUAAAAUAUUCAGAGAAAAAUGGCACGAAAAUUGCUGUUUGUUUUUGUUUUUUGAAACUGCCUUGUUUCUGAUGUAAUAACAUUGAUCCAGACAUUCAGCUCUGCACUGGCCCCCCUCUUUCCAGGCAAACGAUGAGAUGGUUCAGGGCCUGCCUCCUUCUCUGAUGUGUUUUCUCCCACCCCUUUUGCUUGACUGCCCUCUCCGUAUUUUUAGCACAACGCCCAACAGAAACAAAAAGAGAGCGAGAGCGAGGCUUUAAGCUUCUUUUCUGCCUUCCCCACAGAUUCAUUUCCUCCAAACAAAAGAGCCAACGCGACAGAGGAGGCAAUUCCCGAAGGCUCUCCCAGUGCCAGCUCAGAGGAACAAACACCCAAGAAAUCAAGCCCAAGGCAGCGGCCAACGUAAAUGGCUUGUGAGAAUGAAGAACAUUUGUUUCCUUGUUCUUUGGAGGCAUCAGGUUCAUGAAGCAAGGAAGAUGCAGAGUUUAUAUAUGAAAGAAAAAACGUAUCACUGAUUCUCCAUGGAAUGGAGAACUUGUACAAGCACUGAAAGAAAUCUGUAAUUGAGUAACACUAAAAGUCAGGCACUCUUAAUGGAUCUGCCUCUUAAAGCAUUGGAUGUAGCAUUCUGCAAUUAGGUUUUUCCUCAUUUGCUUCAUUGUACUACCUGUGUAUAUAGCUUUUACAUUAUGUAGCACAUAAACCUUUAUCUCCCCUUCCCAUCUUUUUUUGUUGGUUUGUUUGUUUUGGGAAUGGUUGGAGGUCACGACAGGUGAUGGGUUCAAAAUCUGUUUCCAAAACCCGGCAGGCAGAAGCGACGUAUGUGUUGAAUUAUUUCUUAAAGAUGUAUUAUCCCAUUUAAUGGAGUCCAAGACCGUUGAGAGAGAAAACAUGUUAACACUGGCAAUAGCAGAUUGAUGGAAUCUGUUGGUGACAUUUCUACGCAGUAAGAGCGCAUUCCAGUGAGAAGUUACCUUUGCUAAAUUCCACUGAAAUGAAUGGGGAGUGUAGAAAAGCAGAUUCAUUUUAGUGGGCCUUGUGCAAGAGGACGGCCGUGUCCUAAAUGUUAUUGAGGAACUUUGUUUCCAGUAUGUAGCAGCAUAAAGGGCUCCCUUCUUGGAACCCUUUUUUCCUAAUAUAUUUUGGCAUCUAUAUUGUUACUUUAGAUAUUUUUCAAAAAUAAUUUAAAACUUCCUGCUCUGAAUAAAAUGGAGAGAUUUGUAAAACCCUGAACUUCAACCUCUCUUCAUCUCACUUCUCUGAUGUUCAUGGGUGGGUAAAUAUAAAAAGGAAAACUACAUCUUUAAACAGUAUUUUUUUUAUAUUGCCUUGUGUUUUUUUAAAAAGAAAAAUUAAAGUUUUGAAAUGUACCUGUGUACAUAACUUUGUAAAAAACACUGAGAAAUUAUACUAACUUAUUUAUGUUGAAAAGAUUUUUUUUUUUAAUCUAGAAGAUGUUUUCCCAUAAAGCCAAAGCGGCGCGUGUUUUUGUGCAUUUGUAAAUGCUCUCUUUGGUAGGGUUUUUUUUUUUGUUUGUUUAGUUUUUGUUGGGGGGUUUGUUUUGUAAUUAAUAUGGCUGUGCUUAAAUGAUUGCAGACUGAGCCAAUUUAAUUUUUUUUUUGUGUCAAGACAUUUGCCAAUUGAUACUGUUUCACAUCAAGCAAUCAAUAAAGAAAACUGCCAUAUAUAAAUAAAUAAAAAUAUAUAUAUACACACACAUAAAAA